CGCUGGCGGCACGCCUAACACAUGCAAGUCGAACGAAGUAGCAAUACUUAGUGGCAGACGGGUGAGUAACAUGUGGGUAUCUACCCUUUGGCCUGGAAUAACACGAGGAAACUUGUGCUAAUACUGGAUAAGUCUUUACGGAGAAAGCUUUAUGCACCAUUGGAUGAGCCUGCACUUGAUUAGUUUGUUGGUAGGGUAAUGGCCUACCAAGGCUUUGAUCAAUAGCUGAUUUGAGAGGAUGAUCAGCCACAUUGGGACUGAGACACGGCCCAAACUCCUACGGGAGGCAGCAGUGGGGAAUCUUGCACAAUGGAGGAAACUCUGAUGCAGCGAUGCCGCGUGAGUGAAGAAGGCCUUUGGGUUGUAAAGCUCUUUCGUCGGGGAAGAAAAUGACUGUACCCGAAUAAGAAGGUCCGGCUAACUUCGUGCCAGCAGCCGCGGUAAUACGAAGGGACCUAGCGUAGUUCGGAAUUACUGGGCUUAAAGAGUUCGUAGGUGGUUGAAAAAGUUGGUGGUGAAAUCCCAGAGCUUAACUCUGGAACUGCCAUCAAAACUUUUCAGCUAGAGUUUGAUAGAGGAAAGCAGAAUUUCUAGUGUAGAGGUGAAAUUCGUAGAUAUUAGAAAGAAUACCAAUUGCGAAGGCAGCUUUCUGGAUCAUUACUGACACUGAGGAACGAAAGCAUGGGUAGCGAAGAGGAUUAGAUACCCUCGUAGUCCAUGCCGUAAACGAUGUGUGUUAGACGUUGGAAAUUUAUUUUCAGUGUCGCAGCGAAAGCGAUAAACACACCGCCUGGGGAG
rnacentral:rRNA from 1 species